GAUGAACGCUGGCGGCGUGCCUAAUACAUGCAAGUCGAGCGAACAGAUGAGGAGCUUGCUCCUCUGACGUUAGCGGCGGACGGGUGAGUAACACGUGGAUAACCUACCUAUAAGACUGGGAUAACUCCGGGAAACCGGAGCUAAUACCGGAUAAUAUUUUGAACCGCAUGGUUCUAUAGUGAAAGAUGGUUUUGCUGUCACUUAUAGAUGGACCCGCGCCGUAUUAGCUAGUUGGUAAGGUAACGGCUUACCAAGGCAACGAUACGUAGCCGACCUGAGAGGGUGAUCGGCCACACUGGAACUGAGACACGGUCCAGACUCCUACGGGAGGCAGCAGUAGGGAAUCUUCCGCAAAGGGCGAAAGCCUGACGGAGCAACGCCGCGUGAGUGAUGAAGGUCUUCGGAUCGUAAAACUCUGUUAUUAGGGAAGAACAAAUGUGUAAGUAACUGUGCACGUCUUGACGGUACCUAAUCAGAAAGCCACGGCUAACUACGUG
rnacentral:rRNA from 1 species